AAAUUAUUUGCAGAUAAACAUAGAUGAGCCAUCUCCCGGGGGUAGGGAUCCUCCCCUCCCCAAGAGGGGAAAAAGAAUCAAAAGAAGGAUGAAAUCAAAUACUUUUUUAAGUUGAAGAAAUCUCUCAUCAACUGUCUGCCUGUGGAGAUAGGGAUCUCUGUUUUUUGCUUUCUUUGUGACAGUUUUAAUUUGGUAGUCUUAUUUUCUACUCUGCUUGUCUUCCAUAAAUCAUUGGUGUGUUAUAUGGGUGUUCUUAUAAUAGUAGGUUGAAAUAUGCACAUGUAUAAUGUUUUUUUUUAUAUAAAAAAAAGCUUGGCUUCUGGUCAGUUUGAAAUACAAGCCAAGUGCAAAAUUUUUUCUUUAGGAUCAGGUUCAGUUAAUUUAAUGUACCCCCACACACAUAUGCAUGCCUAGACACAUUAAUUAAGUCUUUUUUUUAAUUAUUUGCAGACCGAUACCAAUGAGCCACAGGCAGUGGGGAGUGGUCUUUCCCUCACCAAGGGAGGGGGGAGGAAUUAGAUAAAGAAAAAGAAAGAAAACAGGCAUUUCUUCAGACUUCUUAGAUCUAUCACUGAAGUUUUACCUGAGGAGAUUGUAUUGGAUAUCCACAUGAAGCUACAUAGUUUUUACUUAAGUAAAGUGGUCCACGGUCCGAAAAACUUUGAGAACCACUGUUCUAGAAUAUAGAUGCAAAUCUACAACCCCCGCGCCAAAGAAAUUAUACUUCGUACACUACUAGAGUGCUACAUCUGUCUUGUACUUUUGCCUGUUGAUGUCUCUGUUUGUUUGCUGCUAUGUUUUAGUCAGUGUCAGUAUGUGUGAUAUAACAAUUUUGUGUUUGUCAUUUUGUGCUUGCAUUUUUAAGUUACCUUCUGUUAAGUAGAGAAUUGCACUAUAUGAAUUCUUCAAUAUCAUUAUUAUUUCAUAUAUAUUGUCAAGUAUAUUUUCCGCAUUGCUUCGUCUUUGGGAGGGUGAUAUGUGGCAUGUCAUACUUUUGUUCUAGGCCUGCCUGAUCAGCGUUUGGGGACGCUCCUAUAUUAGAAAGGUAGCUGCAGCAGACGACAUUUUUCAGGUUGGGUUUUUUUUUUUUUGGUUCGCGGGUAACGUCAAGGCCUUCUCCCGAUGAAGUUUUUAAAAAGUUUUUCAGGCACCUUGCCUAACAAUGUUACACACACACACCCCACACACACACCCCACAAAAUAAAAGUAUAAAAACAGUAAAAUUUCCCCUACACCAGCUCUCUGACUCACUCAUUCUGCUUUAAAGAAUGGAACACUACUUGUAUCAUUUCAGAUCGAAUAUGUGUUCAAUGGGGCCAAUGAGGUGCUGAGAGCAGGCUUAGGGUGGUUGUUUCAGCCACCUCAGCCUGAGCCUCAGCCUCAACAGCCUGAACAGCAACAGCAACCUGAACAGCAACAGCAGCAGCCUAUACCUGAGCGUCGCAGAAGACUAAUUCUAAAAGAGUGGAAAGCAGAUCUUCUAGAAGAAAGUUUUGAGAAACAAGAAUACAUCACUUCCAGUGAACUAAAAUCACUGUCGAGAAAAACAAAGCUAUCUCAACAAUGGAUAAAGCGCUGGUUCCCAACCAGACGCUAUUGGGAACGAAAAAGACAUUGAGCUGCAUCACUCUUGUAAGCUAUGAAAAGCAGAUUAGCUCGAUUUGUAAAGAUACUAUUAAGGACAGUGAAUUAAUUAAAUUGAUAACACGUGUGUGUGGGAGAUAUUGUACACAGGGAUGGAUGGGAGUGCACUAAUAUGUACAUUACCCCCUGUGAUAGGGGGGAGUGGUCUUUCACUACCCAAGGGAGGGGGGAGGAAUUGGAUAAAGAAAAAGAAAGAAAACAGGCAUUUCUUCAGACUUCUUAGAUCUAUCACUGAAGUUUUACCUGAGGAGAUUGUAUUGGAUAUCCACAUGAAGCUACAUAAUGUAUGCUACGAGUUUUUAAAGAAAUUCAAUGCUUCUCAUCCGAGAGAGCCAACGGCCCCUCCCCAGAAGACAGGUACAGCUGGUUCCCAGUAGAUCUCAUCACAGUAAUAUAACAAAUUGCAUAGAGAACUGCUGUUUAAAGUACCUAAAUUUAUGACACAAGAUUCGUCUUAAUCUGGCUAAGGUUUCUCGAAAACCUGUAUGUCUGAGGUCAGAGAGAUAUGGACUAGUUGUAUGGAAAAAAUGUUCAAGAAUAUUGUCAAAUGCAUCUGCCGCUUGAUAUGAUAUAUGUCAAUGCAAUCAAAUUACGAAUAAACUGCACUGCCUGUAUGAAUGACGUAAAAAUGAAGUAUAACGAUUACUGUCCAUUGCCCAGACAGCCUUGUAGCUGGAAGAGUGGAAAGAUUGAAGCCAGGAUAAAAAUGCCAUUUCUGAAUAUGUGAGUAAAAGUACAUUUCACUGCGGUGGAACCCUUACUACAUUUUCAUAUGCUAAUAUCUCUUAUGACGAUAGAUUUAAAAAACCUCAGUCUUCAGAGUUUGAAUUAAUAAUUAUCGUUUUUAACUAGAAUUCGGAACAUAGGUGGGAGGACCGGAAUGCUUCACUUCAGUGUGGAGAUACGAUUUAUUCCCUUUCAAAAGGACUUGUCACAGAAUUAACAUUUAAUUGUCCCUAAAAUGAUAUUCUAAGCAUAAGUAAUAAUUUUGUUUGUUUGUGUUUUUAGUUGUUUAAACUAGAAAAGCUAACGUAAUAUGAGGAGACAACAGAAAAAUGAAGUUAUGGAGUUACACUACUUGUAUCAUUUCAGAAUCCGUUCGAUUUGGACCGGAGCAACAGCUCUGGUUCGAUCGCGUACGCGUGCUCAAAUGUCCUAGCUUUUCCGGCGAGAGCAGGCGGAACCAGAACUACCAUUCGUAAUUCUUGUCCAAGAUUUACCGCUAAAAUCUGAAAGUGUGUAGAGUUCGUGGUGUGAUCACAUGCAACUGGUGCAAGAUGACAGUAGCAAACUAAACAUGUUAGCGUCCUCGCAAGAAAUUUCUCCAACUCUAGAAGCGCGCCAGGGACUUGGGGGUGGAGACUGGCAGGACAGCUUCACAAUUGUGACGUUAAGGCCAGAACAACAAAUAUGCCACCAAACCGUGGUUCAAUAUCAAGCUGCCGAAAAAGCUUCAUCUCCCCUUCCUGGAGACCCAAGAAAGAAAAAUUGGAUAAACAAGCCUCUUUAAGUGGCGUCUUAUUACAUCUUAUUCAUCUACACAUAUCCUGACGCCUUGUCUGCCCGUGUGUCGCAGGACCCACCGACAGCGCUCGUGUACAGCCACAGAGGGUGCGAAGGCCACGGAUACAAUUCCGGCCUGACCAGCUGCGCACCCUGGAAAGGGAAUUCCGAAGAAAUCGCUACCCUGCGGUGGCUGACCGCGAAGCGCUGGAAAGAAGGACUGGACUGCCAGAAACCACUGUCCGGGUGGGCACAGUAAAUCGGUCCAACGCCUAGUCCACUAGUUGUUAACUAAACAGCCCUGAUUUCAGAGACACGUAUUAACAUUGUGGUUCUUCCUUCCAGAGAUGGUUUGCAAACCGCCGCAGAGCAUGGAGGCGCAGACAGGAAAAGAAGCCGAGGAGGUAGGAGGAAAUGUAAUUCCGAGAGUUGUCGGUAUUAUAUAUAUGUUAUUAAAUGAAGCAAAGCAAGAAAUAUGUACAAGUACUGAGUGGAUCACAAAAUAUUAAUCUUGUAAGGUAUAAAAAGAAAAUGUAACGAUAUUUAAAAAUGCACAACAGCUGAAAAAAAUUGCAGUUUGAUUCUACAAUAGGAAAGCUUAACUCUGUAUGACAUUACUUUUGUAUGCCAUUUAGAAGGUAGCUUGGUACACAUAGUUUUUUUUUCCUAGAGUUGAAAAAAGUUUUCGUAUGCUUUCAGUGUUGUUGACCUCCUUC